rnacentral:sRNA from 2 species
UUCCACAACCGCCUACUCAACGGUCCAACCGCGGGCAAUUUGAAUGGCGUUUCUCUAUCUAUAGAGCCGGUCUCCCUUUCAAGGGGGAAAACGCGUCCAACCCUUCCAUUUCGAGCAGCAAGCAAAUGACUCCGUAAUGCCUGGCGAUGUUUUCUUGAUAUCAUCAAAUUCGAGAAUAAAGUUAAAUGCCUUUCGCUAUGUCCCGUCUGUACAAGAGUGUUCCCAUAACAUGUCAACCAUUGACCAAAAUCGUGACGAUCUGGGCACGAUGGAUACGAAAGUUUUAAUGGCAGACGGCGACUUACCAGCGCCCGCUACGCAAUCGAACGGAAUGAUAUGCCAAGAGAUCCAACCCGAAAAGAUACUGCCUCAAACUCCAGCACAUAGAAUCCCCCUGGCUGAUCUGAUCAGCAAUACAGAGGAAGCUUUCAAUAGAGCUCCAGGAAAAGCUAUCACUCCCGAAGACCAUGUGUUUUGGAAGCAUGAGCCAUGCAACACAAAUCCUAGAGACGUCUCAGGCUCGCCUCUUGCAACUGGUAAAAAGCGCCAUCGAAGUGCAUCACCCACCAGUUCCCCUCUGGGAGUGGAUCCGACACACAAUGUGUCAAGCCCACAACCCUCUCAGAGGUUCCUGAGAACGCCCCAGCAUGACAUCGCCGCGGACCUUUGGAGCAAAUAUAUCGGAAAAGUCACGGGAAACCCUGGUGGUGAUGCCCCAAAACCUCAGUUCUCCCAUCUCAUCGCCUCCUCACCGCAAACCCCGGUAGACGUUCGAGCAGGUAAGGAUUUGUCGACGCUUCGCAGAUCAAAUAGUUGCAAUGUCUACUGGCCGACGUCUAAUACCAAGAGAAGAAGAGUCGACAAUGCACAGCAGGCUGUGAAGAGAGUUCAGGACAUUUUUGCUGGAUCGCGCAACUCGCUCCUUGGGGCGGGCACUUCAAAGUCAUCCAAGAUUAGCCUCCUGGUCGGGAAAAUACAAGAAACUCUCUUGAAAUCGCCGAGAAAAGAAAUUUCAGGCCCAUCUAGCUCCACUCCUUUACCAGAGCGCUCUGAUAAUAUAGCGGAAUACUCAGGAUCAUCGCUAAAAUAUACGAAUGAUAAUGAAAACAAUCCAAUUGAUACACCUUCUAGAAGCUCGAGAAGAGUAGUGUCCAGUGAUCCUGUUCACACAGACGCUAUGGACAACGUACAAGACUUGAAUGCGAUGUUGUCCGAGUUUGAUGAAGAUGGUCUAGAUGAUGAUUUUCUUGAAUUUGCUGGGGCAGCUGGCAAUCAGCUUAAUCCCAUCCAUUCCGGAAUUGGUCCGUCUCCCGAUGCUCUACAGAAUGAAACACUCAAAGCUUCAUCCACUGUGCAUCGCCAACCUGAUCCUAGUAUCAAUUCCCCCAACAAACCUUAUAAGCACUCCAUGCCGCCCACCUCACACGCCCAUACAAGUUCCGACGAUGUUGAAGAAUUUCACGAUAGUGACAACGAAUUUUCUGAGGCAAUGGAGCAAGUUCUCGCACGUUAUGACUUGAGAGAACAGACAAAUGCAAACAAACAGGAAAGCAGAAUUUUAGAAGGGUCCCUUGCUCAUGACCUCGGAGAAGUAGCAGCUUCUAAGAAUGAAGCGGACACCUCUACUUUGGACAGAGCGAUAUUCACUUCCGAUGACGAAUUCGAUGAGGAUAUCGACCUGGGGUCCAUUGGGAUUGCAUUGCAAAAGACUGCUGGUACGAAUGUUUCGAGUCAAAAUUAUAAAUCACCGCAGGCCAUUAAUCGGUAUCUCGUACUUGACUCGGCUGAAGAUACAUAUCUCAAUUGCAAAGGCCAAUUAAAGCCUCAAAGAGUUCUGUUUGUUCAGGAGGAGAAAACGAAUAACAAUCGAGCUAUCAGUUUGCGGGAAUCAUGGUAUGAUACUCCAUGCGCAAAAGGCUCUUAUAUCCACCUCAUCGGGAGCUUUGAUCUCAUGGGACAAUGCGUAGUGGAUAAUUCCGAGAAUCUGAUAAUCCUUCACCCUGAUCAUCUAAUCUCAGCAACGGUGGUGGCGGAUUCAUUUACUUGUCCGCGCCGCGCUGUUCUCCAAGACCGCGUUAAAGCCACUAGCGAGGCCAACAAGCCGCAAGUUUAUGGCCAUAUUCUUCAUGAAAUAUUCCAGGCCGCCGCGAGCGCGAACCGAUGGGAUUUAAACUGGUUGCGUGAAGUUAUUUCGAGCACUUUGGAACACUAUGUGGAGAGUUUGUAUGAGAUCCAAGUCGAAUUUUCCGAAGCCACCGAGUAUUUAAUGAGCAAAAUGCCGGCUCUCCAAGCAUGGGCAGAAACAUUCAUGCGAUCUCACCCUACGAGAGAGUCGAUUGUUGAAGACAGGAAUGGAACAAGUUCGUGUUUGAGCAUCAACAAACUUCUUGAAAUCGAGGAACAUAUAUGGUCUCCUAUGUACGGAUUAAAAGGCAAUAUCGAUGCGACAGUGCAAGUGGUCGUCCAGGAAGGGACAGGGCGGAAAACGCUUACUGUCCCAUUCGAGCUAAAAACUGGACGGAACCAUUCCAACGAGGCUCACAGGGCACAAACGGCAUUGUACACCUUACUUCUUUCUGACAGAUACGAUAUUGACGUGACUUUCGGACUACUUUAUUAUCUCGAAUCAACUAAGACAUUCAGAGUUCGAGCUAUCCGAAACGAAAUCCUCCAAAUAAUACAGCAGCGCAACCGCCUCGCGGAGUUCAUAUAUAAAAAUUCAGAAUUACCUCCAAUGCUCAAACAGUCACGGAUAUGCAACCAGUGCUACGCUAAAAAUGCAUGCUUCAUCUACCACAAAGUUAUGGAUGACGGAGAUGGGGAAAGCAGCGGAAUGGGAAGUAGUUUCCUUGAAGUUGUUGGACACCUUACACCCUCUCACCAAAACUUCUUCAAGAAAUGGGAUGCGCUUUUGACCAUGGAAGAGCGAGAUAUCAUUAAAUUUCGAAGGGAGUUAUGGACCAUGCUAAGUAAUGAACGCGAGGGGGUUGGCCGCUGCUUCGGUAAUGUUAUGGUCGAGCCGGGCUCUGCCUACGAAGAAACCGGUGUACCAAAAAUUAAUCGUUUUAGGUAUACGUUUUACAAGUACAAACCACCUUCAAACUUCACUUUCGGGGACUCACAGCUCAGUGUCGGGGAGCCUAUCGUUGUUUCUGACGAAAAGGGCCAUUUCGCACUCGCCAACGGAUACAUCACGCAUAUUAGUCGUAAGCGGAUCUCCGUUGCAGUUGACAGGCGUCUCCAUAAUGCCCGAAUGAGGUGUUCAAAUUUCGAUGCGGAACGACAUCAAGCCUUUACGGGAAUCAUGGGGAUUAUUGAAACCGGCGGCUCUGAAUCGACGAUUUUACUAGAAAGGGUUGAAGACACGAAUUUGUACCGCCUGGACAAAGAUGAAUUCAGCAAUGGAAUGGCCACCGUCCGAAAUAAUCUUGUCUGUAUGAUGGAUAGGAACAUGCCCCAAACUAGGAGACUAAGAGAUUUGAUCAUUGAUGGCCAUGCUCCUUCAUUCAACUCAAUUUCUUCGUCAACCAUACCAUGGCUUGCUGGAACCGAGCUAAAUAUUGACCAAAAGGGAGCGAUUGAGAAAGUAAUGAGCGCAAAUGAUUAUGCUCUGGUUUUAGGGAUGCCAGGAACCGGGAAAACAACUACCAUAGCCCAUAUUAUACGGGCUCUCGCAUCUCAAGGCAAAAGCGUCCUUCUUACCUCUUAUACUCAUACUGCUGUGGACAAUAUUUUGUUAAAAAUAAAGGACGACAACAUCCGCACUUUGAGAUUAGGUGCCACAACAAAAAUUCACCCAGAUGUUCGAAAGUUUGCUGAUUUGGCAGCUACUCCCAAAGAGACGAUAGAGGAGUUGAAGGAUAUUUAUGAAAAUUCCCGGAUCGUGGCGACCACAUGCUUGGGGAUUAAUCAUCCUAUCUUUAACAGCCGCAUGUUCGAUUUCUGUAUUGUUGACGAAGCGUCCCAAAUAACUCUCCCGGUUUGCCUAGGUCCUAUUCGUAUGGCGAAAACGUUCAUCCUUGUUGGAGACCACUAUCAGCUGCCUCCUCUCGUUCAGGAUAAGCAGGCCCAGGAGGGUGGCUUGGAUGUCAGUUUGUUUAAACUUCUCUGCGAUUUACAUCCAGCCUCUGUUGUUAAUUUGGAGCAUCAAUAUCGAAUGUGUGAGGAUAUCAUGCUCCUUUCGAACAUCCUUAUAUACUCCGGACAUCUCAAGUGUGGAACACCAGAAGUUGCCAAAAGUUACCUCAAAAUCCCCAACCUCCAUGGGCUAAAACAACACCAUGUCGACCCAUCAUCGCUGUCUCCCAACCUCCGAAACUCCUGCCUAGGAUCUCGAUAUGGACGGUGUUGGAUCCGCGAUCUGCUCGACCCUGUCGCAAGAACCAGACUUGUCAAUACUGACCCUUUGCAACCUCAGGCCAUAGAGUCAUCCAAGGGUUCCCGUAUCAUAAAUCACAUCGAAGCCGUGCUCUGCGCGCAGCUCGUCGAAUCUUUCCUUUCCGUAGGUAUCUCAGCUCAGGAUAUCGGUAUCGUAACUCUCUACCGGAGCCAGUUAACGUGUGAACGUCGCGUUUACUCGCGCGCGAACCAAGUUGCUCAUUGUGGGAAGCAAGAAUACGCUCCGUGAUGGCAAUGAACUACUAGGAAAAUUCGUCCACCUUAUGGAUUCGAAGGGAUGGACGUAUGAUUUGCCGCGUACGGCUGUUGAAGAACAUGUUUUUGAAAAUAUGGAGAACGGGCUGACGCAGUUGAGUCCGCUUAAAAUCACGGAAGCUAUGCGAUCAAAUUCAAUCAGUCCAAAGAAGAAGAAGAGCCCGGCUAAAAAAAGCUCCGAUCCUGAUCAGAGUCCUCUGAAGGCUAAACAUCGCAUGGCGUUGAGCCCAGUCAAGAACAGACAGUCAUCUGCUUGCCAAAAGAGGCCGCACAAACUGGGGGGGAAGCUCUUGGACGGUGCGAGGAUUGUAGCAACGAGACCGGUAUUGAGGGAUGUGAUGAACAAUUUGACAUAGCGUUUCUAGCUUGAUUGCCUAAUUGGGUUAUGAUUGAUAUCGUUUUUUGGUCUUAUCCGCCUUUGUAUUUUGGUCUAACUAGUAUCUACACGUUGGAUGAUAAUCUCAGCUCGAUACUCUUCCUGCGCUGUUAUCGCUUUUCGGCCAAUCUGCCAAGGCACUUAGGGAGCUUCGAUUUCCGUUUUAUAUAAAUCAUCACAGUGUAACAUUAAUGCCAUGCGACUCACAAUAUAGUCCUUAUCUUUGUCAUUUCGGCAAAUAUCAAGCCUCAUUAAUUCGAUUAAUCAUACGACGAGCCCCCUGCGUACUCCCAACAGAUAAACUGAUGCUGGGGUCUCUCUCCGGCCGCGGAAGUUUCUGAUUGUUGAACUCCAGUAGGUUCUUUAUUCAACGGCUGGUACAAAACAGUAUAUCCGUCCUUGCUUUCCACCGCCUCCCUGCCUAGCGCCAAAGAUGUAAGAGCAAACCACCCAUCAGUCUUCGAAAGCCCAAAGGUGAAUUUCCGCAAUGUAAAUGCAAAUAGCUGUGUUAUCCACGCUGAAUGGAGCAAUCCUUCCCAGGAAAUUCUAACCAGAUCGACUGGCCGACAUUCAUCUUGGUUCGGAGGUGCGUAGCGACUCAAGUAUGGAUCAAUGGUAUCGUUGGCAUGCACGCGUGGAGAAUUGAGAAAAACCAGUCCGAGCCAUUCUUGAAUCUCGUCGCAAGUUUCGUGGAGGAACUCUAGUCCAGUGCCAGUUUCAAGACCUGAUAAAAAUAACGGUGGAACAGUGAUCGACCCGAGGAUAUUCACUUCAGGGGUGCACUGCAAUAUCUGAGGAUAGUGUUUUUUUAUCGGUGCAUCUGUGUGGGAAAUGUUACGACAAAGAGGAAAAGGUAGAGAGCCAGAAUAGAAGAAGAAUUUUUACCUUCCUCUGAGUAAGUUGGUGACGGGGUUAAGUCGCAGAACAACCAAGUUACAGAUGUUGUUAGUACGUUCUUGAAAGCCCAAACGAUCCGCUCGAAGCCCUUCUUCCCAUGAAGCAUUGAUGGGAGUCUAAGGUUGAUUUCCACGGC